AUGACGCAGAAGAAGUGCCGCCUCCGCAGGAGGUCUCCUCGCGAAGGAUCAUCCCGCCGCCGCCGCGGUGAAGAAGGCGCAUCGUUGUCUGGAUCCCAUGUCGAAUCAGAUAGCAGCAGCACGUUGGACGAGCCGGCCGGGCGGACUUCCAGCGCGCCGCCGUCCGGAUCCUUGGACGAGCCGCCGGUCGCCUGGCCGGCUCGCGAGUCCAGGUACCAUGAAAUCCUCGCCUCGCGCCUUGCGGAGUUGCAGUUACAGUUAUGCGCCGCCGCCGCCGACGACGACAUCUCAAAUCUUCCUUCGGAUGAAAUUGUCCAAGCCCUCACUCGUUCUAAUUUCUAUGAUGAUGAGAUGCGGGCUGCUCUGGUAGAAUAUCAAAUCCAAAAGUUCUUGAGCGAACCCCACGGGCCAGGUGUUGGAGAGAGAAAUUCUGUAGAGGACAUGGGCGAUGAUAUCCCUGAGGAGGAAUUCGUCAACUACUCCGAAAAGCUAAAGGCUUGCAGACGUGCUGGAAUCGACACUGAGACUCGGCUGAAUCAAGAGGAGUUUCGCAUGCUCCAUGUCAAGUAUGUACGUUAUCGCAUCAAAGCUUACCUGUUGCUGAAAGGAAAGCAUAUCGACGAGCAAGACGAAGCUACAUCGGAAUCCAAGUACCCUCUGGAGCUUGCCUUGGAGAAUACAUGUUUCUCUCCUUACCUGGAAGAUGGUGUCUUUGGCUGGUAUUUCGACUCUGACCUCUGUUUACUUAAGUCCUUGAGUGACUACCAGCGGCUAGUCCUCCCUAACUGUGCUUGGAGUGAGUAUGGAAGCUUGAGUCAGUACAUCUUGUUUUAUAACACCCAUGAAGCUGAUAGAGACUAUGUGCUGUACUGGGAAAAGAUGGUCAAGGAAAUUAAGUGGCUUGAAAAUCAUGUGCUUAAAGAAGGUACUCCGGAGUGGGAUCAAAUCCGUCGUAAAGGUUUUUACCAAGCAAUUAGGAUUGCUGCUGAGUUCCACAACAUUGAUUUCGGUCUAGCAUAUUAUGGUUUCAUGGAGUAUAUAUGGAGGACUCGCUUUUAUGUCGUGUUUGUGAAAGAUCUUGACCGUGCCUAUUUUGAGAUUUGGAAGCGGAUCAAGGGUCAGACAAGUUUCAGAGAUGCUCUGCAGGAAGUUUGCACUGAGAAUUUGGUACCAUCGCGCCAGAAAACUUUGAAGGCCGAGCUGCAGCGGCCCGGAGGCUUUUUGCAACUGGAGCGACAAUUCCGCCGGUGCACAGAGGGCAUUAGUAAGGAAGUGAAGCUUCCGGAUUGGAGAGUCCAAGAGUUGAUUGCGCAGGAAAUUAAUUACAAGCGUGCAUUGCCAAAGACGUAUGCACACUACGCCAGGAAGAAGCUCCAGAUUGCAGAAGUCUUAGGAAUGAUUCCCAAGGCCGAGAUACCAGCGUAG
rnacentral:rRNA from 1 species